rnacentral:lncRNA from 1 species
AAUCACGAUAAUCAGAUUUCAGUAGAAACCAAAAGAAACGUAAGCAAUUACUAUUUUGAUUCCAAUGAGAGCUUCCAGCUAUGAAACGGCAAAGAAUACAGUUUUGUGCGCACAUCCGCGCGAGGGAGACGUGUUGAACGGCUAUAUUUGCAGCACUAACACUUGGCAUAUGUGCUAUUUUACUCUCUCUAGACCACAGCGGCAGCACAUAAAACCAAACAAAGCUAGGGUUUCCACCGCUCUAAUCCCCACUUUGCUAUCUCCGCCUCACUCUUCAAACACUCUAGAUAGAGUUUUCCGACUAAUUCUAGAUCAAAUGUGUGCACUGAGCUUGAAAACUCUUUGAUUUUUGAGUGUAUAAGUGGUUUUUUGAAGAGAUUGAAGGAGCAAAACAGGGUUUCUUGGGCUUGAGGUGCUAAAUUUUGUCAGGUAUACUCACAUUUCCUUGGUCAAAUACUUAUGCUUGUGAAUUUGAUGUGUUUUCCUUCGCUGUUUUGUUCCAGAAUAUUUCAAGUAUUUUUUUGUCAUAUGGAUAUGAUGUUAUUUUUAUAUAUUUUUAUUACCCUCUUGUUGUUUUUCACUCUGAUGAAUAAUUUAUGUACCAGUGAACAGUUCAUCUGUUUUGGUUAUUAUUUUAAAAUUAAAUAUCAUGUAUUAAUGAGAGGUUAUCAAUGAAAGAAUUGGAUGCUCCAAUAUUUGUGGGUGGUCAUUUUUAUCCAAGUUAUCACCUUUAGUGUGCAAAUUAAAUGAGUUUUUUACAAUAAUGAAUAAUGAUUAGUUACUCAGGAUUUUAGUUACUUGCGUUGUCUAGAUAAUCAAAUAGAGUCCAACAAUCAAGAACUACAAAAGGUGUGCUGCUUCAAUAGAAAAUUUAUAUAACCAUACCAAGAAAACAUUUGAUGAUAUGCUUUUCCCAUUUAAAUCAAUAGUGUUGAUGGGUCUUUUAUAGCAUAUAUUGAAUUUUGCGGCAAUGGCAUGAUUUAACUGCUCAGGGAUUUGUUCGGGUGGCAGCGUCUAUACACACUUCAUACGUCCAGAUGAGGCUGCAAACUGUCUUCUUUGAUUAUUGAUGUAAUAAGUAAUAAAAUCUUCUUUGACGAGUCAAUAGAAAUGGAAAAGGAAUGUCCAAAUUCCAGUGCUUCAGACCCUCUAAGUCUUAUGUAAUGCUAUACUAAUUUAUAGACUUGGUAAGGGUUUUAUGGAAUAAAAGACUUUCUUUAUAAUUAAGAUAACAUAUAAUACACAAUGAUACUAAAGGGAGAGUCAUCCUAAAUCCUAAUACCCUCGGAAUUUACCACGAGUAGUUGGACACAGAAAAACACAACCUGCCAGUAAAAGCCCUAAACAACUUUGAAAACCCCUCACCCUCAAAUGGGGCCCCAAUGAAAACUCUCCUAAGAAAUCAAUAGAAUGAAAUCAUACCUUGUUUCUCCAAGAAUACAAGAAGCUAAAAGAUAAAUAUCCUAUAUAAACCAGGCUUUCGACAUCCUUUAAAAACGGCGGUACCUCUCAGACUUUUCCUGGCAUAAAAGACAUGAAUCUCCUAAGAUAUUAAUUGGAUGAUAUUACUGCAAUGAGGAGGAAUGUGGCAAUAAAAUGCCUGAUAUACAUCCAUCAUUAUAAGUUCAUAAUUUAAUUGUUUUCCAAAUAAAUAAUUACCCAAAUUCUUCUUUCAAGACCAGUAACGUGCCGCCAAUGGCCUAAUCCAUGAGAAAUAUCAAAUGAGGGGCUCCAAUGAGGGCAUACAUAAUGAAUCCCCAAUAACAUUCAAUGCAUGCCAUUGAAGCACAACCCCCAAGAAAGGUUAUGGAACUUGACACUUGACAUAGAGAACAGAAGUAAUUGAUGCAAUGCUAUAUAGGGUUCCUAAGGUCACGUGGUGGAAGUCUGGCUUUUAGUAACUUCUCAAUCUUGCAACCCACAGUAAUGGGAAAACUCUUGUUUAAAUGCCAAAACUCAUAGCUGUGUGUUCUUACCCUGUUAAACUACAUGCAAAGGUUUGACUUUUGAGAAGUCAAUAAUAUUCUUAAAACGUAAUCAAAUGUGAAUCUGCUUUCACGUCUUAUGUUGUCUAGAGACAGUUAAGUUGUAACUACCUAGUUUUUGGACUCUGCUCACUAUUUGUCCAAGGUAAUGCACUCUGCUUCUAGGUACAAUUGAACAACUUUCACUGACACUUCACUUGCUCUACACUUAAAAUGCUUCCAUGAGAGGUGAACCUUAAAGUUGAAGAAAAUCUCUUACUUUCAAAUGGACUCCAAAACCGCUGCCUUUGCAUAUAUACUGAUUUUGAGUGCAUCUCAAGCUUAACAUACUUAUAUGAUGUGAUUCAGCUUUUGUCUAUUCACUUAAUGUUGGGCCUGCAGAUGUAGUUACUUAUUUGGCUAGUGUAACUUCUGUAGUAAAGUUUAGAGCUUCCCCUUUACAAUAUCUUUUUAUCAGGAUUGCUGAAUCUUCUUACCCAUGUUUGUUUUGGGAUCAAAAUCUUAGAUGCAAGCUUUCCCAAAGCUACACUCUUCCUGCCUAGGAGGACAUAUUAGAUCACAAUUAUCCUGACGACUCCUCUUUUCCUUCCUAGAACCAACCCAGAGAAAACCCUCAUAAUUUUCUCAAGAGACCUAGCCAUACUCUAGAGAAGAUUGAAGCUCCCAUUUUUGCCAGUUGUUAACUGCAUUAACCCCACUUUUUCUGUCAAUGACAUGGCACACCUUAGACGAGAUUAACAUGGAAACCUCGGUGGUUGCAUGAUUAAUUUUUAUAAAGAUGACUAAAUACUUAUUGGAAACACCCUACUGCUUAGUGAACCCUAUAGUGCAAUAAACUAAUAAGAUUAACAAUCUUAAAGAGUUUUGAGGUAAACAUGAUUUACUUGCAAAAAGUCUUAUCUGAUUGGAGUGACAUUGGACACUGAAUGUAACAAUUCAAUCUAAGAAUACACAUUGUAUGAUAACUGUGAGAUAACACCAAUCAAUAAAAUUUGAAUUGAAAGUUAUCUUACACCCUUUGUGGAAGCGUAUCUGAUUAGGUUGAUAACACCCAUUCUUUUUUUGAGACCAAUUUUUUUAGAAGAAAGAAACAAAAUGCGCCAAAAUUAUAGAAUGAAAAUAUACGAUGAAAGAGGAAAAGAAAAGAAAGCAAAGAUCAUGUACGACUAAACAUUAUCGGCACUUUAAUUUGAAAGUCAAUAGUAGAAGUGGGUAAUGUGAAGAUGGCUAGUCCUCUUCAUAUUUUUGAAUAUUUUCAUUUGCACAUAAUAUGUGACACCGAGUGUUGAAAGAAGAUAGUGAAUGUCAGAAAGAAUUAUUCAAACAAACAGAAACUUCUAAUAUUAUGGGAAAUUAUGCACCAGGAUCUGCUAUAAUAAUAUUGGAGAACAAUGGAUACUUUUAUAUUUUGACAUAAAUUUGUUAGCUGUCAUUUACAUUUUAAGUUGUACCAUGUCCACUUAAAAUCUUCAGGUUUUUGUGGUUGAUGCAAGAUGGGGAUGGUUCUUGCUAAAAUAGUAUCCUUCAGUCUUGUCUGCAACUAUAUUUAUUUGUUUCUGAGCAAAAUCAUUAUGUUGUCAUGUUAGCUUGUAUCUUUUUAUUUAGUCGUACCUUGCCUAAUCUGUUUCUUAUUGAUUUGUAUUUUGUUUUUAUCUUCUCAAGUAAAUUUUGGAAUAAAGAAUGGUGAAGGUUCAUUCUUGUCAUGGAUAGUUGACUUGAGAUAAUAUCUUUACGCACAAGAGAAGUGAGAACAAUGAUCCUUUCCAUUGCCGUGUUGCCCCUGCUUAGAAGGCCAUGUUGACAAGCCAUGGCUUUCACGUUUCUAGUUUGUAAGAAGUGGGUUAAAAUUUUGGUAAUAUGUUAUGUCCUAGUCUAUGUUGCGCUGCUGUUAUUCUUUAACAAAGCCGUGUUUCUUAUAACAAUUAAUGAUACUCCUAAUAUUAUUAUGCACG